rnacentral:rRNA from 1 species
GGUUUGACAUGGCUCAGAUUGAACGCUGGCGGGAUGUUUUACACAUGCAAGUCGAACGGCAGCACGACUUCGGUCUGGUGGCGAGUGGCGAACGGGUGAGUAAUGUAUCGGAACGUGCCUAGUAUGGGGAUAACUACGAAAGCGUAGCUAAUGCUUACACGCACCUUCGGAAAGCGGGGACCCGGGCCUCGCACUAUUAGAUGCUGAUACCGGACUUAGCUAGUUGAAAGGCAUCGGCCCACCAAGGCGACGAUCCGCUGGUCGAGGACGACCAGCCACACUGGGACGAGGACACGGCCCAGACUUACGGAGGCAGUGGGGAAUUUUGACAAUGGGGGAAACCCCGAUCCAGCUACCCGCGUGCGAUGAAGGCCUUCGGGUUGUAAAGCACUUUUGCAGGAAGAAAUGGCACGGACGACACUCCGCAACUGACGGCGUUCCGCAGAACGCACCGGCUAACUACGUGCCAGCAGCCGCGGUAAUACGUGGUGGGCAAGGUUAACGUGGAAUUACUGGGCGCAGCGUGCAGGCGGUUUGGAAAGAAAGAUGUGGAACUCAGAGCUUUAACUCUGGAACUGCAUUUUUAACUACCGAGCGAUAAGCCAGAGGGAGGUGGAAUUCCGCGUGGUAGCAGUGAAUGCGUAGAUAUGUGCGGAGGAACACUGAUGGCGAAGGCAGCCUCUGGGAUAACACUGAUGCUCAUGCACGAAAGCGUGGGAGCAAACAGGAUGAUACUCCCAGAAUCCACGCCCUAAACGAUGUCAACUAGUUGUUGGGGCCUUCGGGCCUUGGUAGCGCAGCUAACGCGUGAAGUUGACCGCCUGGGGAGUACGGUCGCAAGAUUAAAACUCAAAGGAAUUGACGGGGACCCGCACACAAGCGGUGGAUGAUGUGGAUUAACGGAUGCAACGCGAAAACCUUACCUACCCUUGACAUGUCUGGAAUCCUGAAGAGAUUUGGAGUGCUCGUAAGAGAACCAAUCAUUAUGGUGUUGGCUAUUGUCGUCAGCUCGUGUCGCAGGAUGGGUUAAGUCUCAACGAGGCAACCCCGUCAUUAGUUGCUACGAAGGCACCUGACAGAUCGCCGGUGACAAACCGGAGGAAGGAAAGGGAUGACGUCAGUUCCUCGCGGCCCCGGCGGGUAGGGCUUCACGUCAUACAAUGGUCGGGACAGAGGGUCGCCAACCCCAGGACAACCCCAGAAACCGAUCGUAGCCCGGAUCUGCAGUCUGCAACUCGACUGCGUGAAGUCGAAUCAUAGUAAUCGCGGAUCAGCAUGUCGCGGUGAAUACGUUCGUGGUCUUGUACACACCGCCCGUCACACCAUGGGGAGUGGGUUUUACCUAGCGGUUAGCCAUAACCGUAAGACAGUGGGCGAUUACCACGUAGAGAUUCAUGACCGGGGUGAAGUCAACAAGGUAAA